GAUGAACGCUAGCUACAGGCUUAACACAUGCAAGUCGCGGGGCAGCAUGGGGGUUGCUUGCAAUCCCCGAUGGCGACCGGCGCACGGGUGAGUAACGCGUAUCCAACCUGCCCUUCACAACGGGAUAACCCGGCGAAAGUCGGACUAAUACCGUAUGUUGUCCAUUGAAGGCAUCCGAUUGGGACGGAAGGGUUGGGGGUGGGGGGUGGGGAUGCGGACGAUUAGGUAGACGGCGGGGUAACGGCAGCCCGUGGGUAUGCUCGGUAGGGGUUCUGAGAGGAAGGUCCCCCACACUGGAACUGAGACACGGUCCAGACUGCUACGGGCGGCAGCAGUGCGGAAUAUUGGUCAAUGGGCGUAAGCCUGAACCUGCCAAGUAGCGUGCAGGAUGACGGCCCUAUGGGUUGUAAACUGCUUUUAUGCGGGGAUAAAGUGGCCCACGUGUGGGCUUUUGCAGGUACCGCAUGAAUAAGGACCGGCUAAUUCCGUG
rnacentral:rRNA from 1 species